rnacentral:rRNA from 1 species
CGAAUUCGCCCUUAGAGUUUGAUCCUGGCUCAGGACGAACGCUGGCGGCGUGCUUAACACAUGCAAGUCGAACGGGAUUUAGUAAACAGAAGCCUCGGUGGAAGAUUACUAAUGAGAGUGGCGAACGGGUGAGUAACGCGUGAGCAACCUGCCUAUGACAGUGGGAUAGCCUCGGGAAACCGGGAUUAAUACCGCAUAAAAUCGUAGAAACACAUGUUUUAACGGUCAAAGAUUUAUCGGUCAUAGAUGGGCUCGCGUCUGAUUAGCUAGUUGGUGAGAUAACAGCCCACCAAGGCGACGAUCAGUAGCCGGUCUGAGAGGAUGAACGGCCACAUUGGAACUGAGACACGGUCCAAACUCCUACGGGAGGCAGCAGAAGGG